rnacentral:rRNA from 1 species
UGGGGAAUUGUUCGCAAUGGGCGCAAGCCUGACGACGCAACGCCGCGUGGAGGAUGAAGAUCUUCGGGUCGUAAACUCCUUUCGAUCGAGACGAACGGCCUCCGGGUGAACAAUCCGGGGGAGUGACGGUACCGAGAGAAGAAGCCCCGGCUAACUCCGUGCCAGCAGCCGCGGUAAUACGGGGGGGGCAAGCGUUGUUCGGAAUUACUGGGCGUAAAGGGCUCGUAGGUGGCCAACUAAGUCGGACGUGAAAUCCCUCGGCUUAACCGGGGAACUGCGUCCGAUACUGGAUGGCUUGAGUUUGGGAGAGGGACGCGGAAUUCCAGGUGUAGCGGUGAAAUGCGUAGAUAUCUGGAGGAACACCGGUGGCGAAGGCGGCGUCCUGGACCAACACUGACACUGAUGAGCGAAAGCCAGGGGAGCAAACGGGAUUAGAUACCCCGGUAGUCCUGGCCCUAAACGAUGAAUGCUUGGUGUGGCGGGUAUCGAUCCCUGCCGUGCCGAAGCUAACGCAUUAAGCAUUCCGCCG